AAGCGUUGGACCAAUGAGAAACUCCCGCAUGCAUCGGAGGGGCGGUCCUCCAGUCCUCGCUACCAUUAGAGACGGGGUGUUUAUCAAUCUUUACAAUCUGCUAAAUGAUGGUGUUACAAAUGGAAACAAAUUUCCCAGCUGUCCUUUGACCGUGGACUCUGCAGGUGUAGAGACCGCCCGGAGACGUGGGUGUGGAGUUUAGUCAUGAAGAAUGCUGCAAUAACUAGAUUAAUAGGCUUUUAACUGUAGACCGAUUGGAACUCAAUCUUACGAUCGUCCAAACAAGCUGACGCAGACCGCCAGGCGCCAGUUCCGCGACGUCACCCAUUCAUGUAGUCCCUGACGGCUGUCAGCCCGGCGCCGCGCGGGCGGUGUCCAUGGAGACCUCAAACAACGGGGCUCACAAUCCCCCCAUUCACCUGCACAGCACAAACCCUGAGAACAAACUGUCUGCCCAAAAUCGUUAUUCAUUUAUCACGUUAAACCACUCAGUGAAGAGAUUACUGCCCCACACACCUGCAAACUGCCAUUGUCUCUAGCUUGCUCACUCAAGCUCCAAAGGCUUGUAAAGGAAAAAAAGACAGAGGGCUUUGAAUGUAAAAUGACAGUUCCUGAAUUCCUUCAGUUAGGUACUCCCCUUCUUUUUUCAUAAGGAAAUUCCUCAAGUAAAUCAUUGUAUAUUUUACACUGAUAUAAAAUAACUUAUAAUGUUGCAGUUUCAGUGCCUGUCUAUCUGGCUGUAGUCCACCAGAAUUAGAUUUUAAGUCGUUUUUCUUUUUACUUAGUAAAUAGAUUCAAAUAAAUUUCACAACUUGUAUAAUUGUGCUGAGUUUUCCACAAACUUGCAAUUCAUUUGGAGACAGAGAACCAAACAAGAGAAGGCACAAAGUGAAAACGGAGAAGAAUGUAAUUGUUAGCAUCUGGUAUUUCCCCCCAAAAUAUAUGCGGUUUGAAUGAGUAAUUCAGUUGGUCUAUGUGAAAUGCUCAAAUAAUGCACUGGAAAUAAGGCAUGUGGAACAUUCAUUUUUGAUCAAAGCAUGUAUCAUAAUUAAGUGCAUGGAAUUGAUUAUGCAAAUGUAAUUAAAUCAGCAUUUCUUAACUAGA